rnacentral:tRNA from 1 species
GGUUGUAUAGUUUAGGUAGAAGAAUAAGGGUUUUGUAAACCUUUGGCACAGUAAGAUGUUAUGACCU